AGGGGUUAGCAGUCCCCACCCGCUCCCCACUCCCUCCCCAGAGGGCUCAGGGACGGUAGGGAGGGGGUUAGGGGAAGGGGUAGGGGGAGGGAAGAGUUUCUUAUACCUGCCCAGAGUCCAUCCCGAAUGUCGUGUCCCUUCUGGAAUCCCAGCUCUCAUCGCCAACCAUCCCAGGGUGCCAGACCUCUCACCCUGUGUAAGUAAUGCCCAGCAACAGCUUUCUGCCCUGGCUCCUCGGCUGUGGGAGCAGGGGCUGGACGUUUGCACUCUGUGAGCUGUGCUCCAGGAUGCCAGACAGGCAGUAUGCAGGAGUUUUAGGUGGCAAAGCGAGGGCAGGAGCUCUGUGUGUGUAGUGUGAUGCUCACCCGAGACUCCAACUUCUUGCCUUCUUUCUUUUUCUGGGACUCUGCUCUGGGAGGGGCAGUUUCUGCCUGACCUGCUGGAGGCUGCUGCUUCUUUUCUCCCUGCUCUUCACUGGCAUCUUCCACACUGCUUUUCUGGUCUUGUUUCUUCCCCUGCUCUUCUUUACCUGUCUCUGCUAGGCAUUCUUCCCUCCUCACCGGGAAGCAGCGGCCCACAGGAUCGCGCCACUACUUCCGGCGAACAGUAGCGG
rnacentral:lncRNA from 1 species